GAUCAGUAUCAUUAUUAAGAAAUGAAUGUCACACCACUCACCAAUAUAUUUCGUGAUCCACAAACAAAUGUAAUAACAUUCGCAAAUAUAAUUCAUACAUUUCAUGAUCCACAAACAAAUGUAACAACAUUCACAAAUAUAAUUCAUGAUGCACAAAUGAAUGUAACCCCAUUCACAAAUGCCAGCGCAGUUCUAUUAAUUUGCAAACCGGUCUACAUAUAUUCGCAAGCCCUAUACAUAUUUGUGACUUCCAUUGUAUUUGUGUGUGGAUUUUUGAGACUGUCCUGACGGUAUUUGACACACAAAUGUGCUCAGCCAAUCACAUCAGCCGGCGUUCGAGCGUAAGGUUGAAGACAUUGCGCUUCUAUUACGCAGAGCAGGCUACUAGUGCGAAGCCACCAUAGAUCUGUAUAAAUAACUGGAAGUAGAGCCAUUACUGAAGUGCUCCCUGACGUAAACUCGGAAGCGUAUGAAGUUACUGACUUUCACAUCAUCUUUGUACAAAUAUGUCUGGAUCUGGACUAACGUGUGCCGUAAUCGGAUGUAACAAUAACAGCAGAAAGCUAAAAAUGUGGAAAAAGAGCGUAUGUGCGCUUCAUAGUCCACAGUUUAAAGAGGAUUGUCCAUGUUGUGUGCCCUACGGUGUACACCGUUUCCCCGGCCGUGCUGAGGAUGAAGACAUUCGCAAGAUGUGGAUUAAAAACGUACACCGAAAGGACUUUGCCCCCAAACAAGUAUUCAAGGGUGUGUGCGGAGUACACUUCCCUGACGGCAGACCAACGCAGGAACACCCAUAUCCCAUAAUAUGGGAUAUGAAUAUAGUAAAGCACCAUCAUGUGGAAGACCACCCCCAAAGAGAUGUCUCCAGCCCCCAACAGAGAGACUUGGAUUAAUGUUGAGAGGAUUAUUGUUCAAUACGGUGUAGAAACACUUGGUUCAGUUAUAUGUAUAUAUCUAUCAUCUUUCAAGAAAUCCUUCAUCCCCUCAGCUGUGACCAUACUGAACAAGAGAUGAACUGUCCAGCUGCAGCAUGCAUGUAUUGUGUGGUCUUGUCUUUUUUUUUUUUUUGGUCAAGCCUUGUCUAAUGUCUGUGAGAAUCACUGAAGCCACGCCAAAGACAAUUUUCUUUUUCAUGGGUGUAACAGACAAUUAAGUUUUAUCUAAUCUAAUCAUAUCAAUGAGAAUCAGUGCACCUGACAAAGGUAUGACAUACCGUAUACUGUAGGCUUAAAUGCUAAAGAAAAAUGAAUUAACCUGGCGGUUUUGAAUUGUUUAUUUACACAGUUAUUAAAAUGCAUACAGAUAGUGAAUUUAA